rnacentral:lncRNA from 1 species
AUUCAAGCACUACAAAGAGAAAUAAUUUAGAGCAACAUGCCAAGGAAUCUAAAAAUGAGAAAAAAAAAUCAGAAACUAAAAAUAAGCUACCUUCUUAUAAGGUUCAUACAGAUGAGGCAAAGCAGAUACGGAGUAACGGUCUCUGCCAUCAAGGAUAAUCAUAAACCAACUGACGGGAUCCGGCACUGGGCUGCAGUUCGGUACUUUACAUUCCACUGCUCGCAUCUGUAGCCAAAGAUUGGGACUUCUUUAGAAGAUUUAGCAUUACAUUCGGUAUAGUGAGACAUCGCAGGACGUUGGCAUUAAAAUCCCUGAAAUGAUUACAUGGCCACCUGAUGACCGCAAAACGAGAAGCUAAAACACCAGACAUUUUUAGGUACCUCAUACCAAGCACUAAAUGACCAAGAUAUUAAUAAUACCUCAAAGCCUGUGAAGAUUCCAGGAAAUCAUGGCCACAUCCAAGCUAAAACCCAACAAAAAAAACUCGGUCAAACUUACAAAACAACCAAGUUUUUUCCUGGUGGGUCACCCAAGUUUUAUAGAAUUAUUGAAUGCGGAAGAUAGUGAGAUUGAAUAGAGGAGCUUCUUACUAGUUCUUUUAUUGAAUAGAAUGGUCCUUUUGUUUUCAAAGAGUUUGAUGUACUCUCACCAUCAUCGCUCUCAUUGCAAGUACUCUCAUCAACAUCAUCCUCGUCAUCAUACUCCCAUCCUCAUCGCUCACAUUACAAGUAGUAGUACAUCCAUUCUCAUCAUGAACGCCUCGCAAGGCUUUCACCAUAAGCAUCUCAUCAUUGUUAAAUACAAAAGAAAAUAAGAAAUAAAAAAUAUGGUUUUUAAAAUAAACCUCAAAAAAUCACUAUAUAUAGUAUCAUGACCAUUUAAAUAAUGGUUCAAAAAAUAUUUUUAUUUUAACUAAUGUAUGAACUCUUUACCCUUUCGCCCCUCAUGUGAUAUGACCGAUUGCACGAAAAGCGAAACACUAACGAGAGAUUCUAACCAAGGAGCAUGCGAAUACGAAAACGCUAAAGAUCUCACGGACUUUACAUUAUCCAUUCACACCCCAAAAAUUUUUCACCCAAUAAUAGUCCACAUCAUUUUCAGACCUAAACCGUUAUAAAAAUGGCGUGUUUGUCUAGGUCGUCAUCUCGUUUUGGACCAUUUAUAAAUUGCGACAGAAGAAAAAGAUAAAGAAUAGAAAAAAUAUGAAACUACUUUUACUUACCACAAAUAUAUACAUGUUACUUACAAUGCUGAGAUCUUCCAAAUGAGGAUAUACUGAUAUUGAACCAGGAAUGGAUGCUCUGUGACAGAAUGUUUACAAUUUACCCGGAACAUUCUUCAGUAAACGAUUCAUAAUCUUUGAUAAAAAUCUGGGCUUAUGAAAUGCAACAAGAAACAAGAAAAGAGAGAUCAAUUUAUUACUUAUAAGACAAUUUAUGAAUAACAUAUCCUAUUUAUUAUAAACUACUGUAGACUUGUAGUCUCUUUUAGCCACAAAGGAUAAUCUGCUUCCAUGGUCACUAUACAGACUUUUAAUAAGUAAACAGUAACCAAACUUGUUUUUUGGUCGUAAAAACAUCCAACCUUAUCUAUUCGAUCGGUUGUAUUAAUGGAUAUUUCACAAGAAGACAGUUUAUUAUCUCUUGUAUGGAUAUUUCAAUUUUUUCUCCCAUUUUCAACAUGUAUAGCGAUUCACAUGCCCCAAUCAUCAUACAAGCAUUUGAAAAAAUAUGUAUUAGUUAAUUAUCAAUUGAGAUAAGAUAAUUGAUAUAAAAAAAUUAUCUUCUUAAUGUGCUUCCUGCAAUUGUUGAUUUCGACAAGUGAAUAAUCUAACCCUGUAGGUUCCAAUAUUUUUGAAAAUCAUCCGGUUAGUUUCGACUAAAUUCGUGUAAUUUAUGUACUUUGAUUUUGGAAUGACAAAAGCAUCCGGUUAGUUUCGACACAAUAUAGUGUAAUUUAUGUACUUUGAUUUUGGAAUGACAGGAGUUUUAGUCGGCAUCUAGCUAGGUCGGGUUAUGUCACUUGUCAGAAAUAAAAAAAAUUGCAGGUAAGCACAUAAGAAGUAUUAAUUUUUUUUAUAAAUAUUUUAUGUUAAUUGUAUUAACUAAUACAUAUUUUUAAGAUGAGUGUGCUGAUGAUUGGGGCAGUGAAUCACAUACAGUUGAAAAUGGGAGGCGAAAAUUGAAAGAUACCAUACGUAGGAGAUAAUAAACUGUCUUUCUUGUGAAAUAUCUAUUAAUAACCACUCCGAUUGAAUAGAUUAGGCUGGAGUUUUACUACUAAAUUGGUUAUGGUUUACUAUAAAUAAAGAAUGUGGAGUGGCCAUGAAGCAGGAUUAUCCAUGUGGCUAAAAAAGAAGACUGGCAAGUCCACAGAGUUAUCAGUAGAUAGAUAUGUAUUCCUAAAUUGUCUUAUAAGAUAAUAAAUUGAUCUCUCUUCUUAUGUAUUGUAUUGCUGUGCAGUUUAGUAGCUCAUAUUUUUAUCAAAGAUGAAUGAAUCGUUUAUUGAAGAACGGUAUCCGAGGUGAAAUGUGAAAAUUCUACACAAGCAUCCCAUUCCUGGUUCACUAUCCAGUGUAUUCUCAUUGGAAGAUCUCAGCAAUGUAGAAGUAAAUGUAUAUAUAUGUGGUAAAAGUAAAAGUAAUACAUAUUUUGUCUAAUUCUUAAUUUUUCUUAUGUAGGAAUACUUCGGUAGGGAAUUUAUGAACUCCCCAUGGAAAAUGAGAUGUACGAAAUUUGGCAAUAAGCAAUGUUUAAUAUCGGGUUAUGGUACCAGAAGUGGUUGUGGGUAGAUUAUUGGGUGAAAACUUCGUGGGGUAGUUUUUGGGGUGUGAAUACGAUACGGUAAAAGUCUAGUGAGUGUUCUUAUUAGGCGGUUCGUAAUCCCAGGUGCCUUGGCUUAGAAUCUGUCUCAUCCAAGGUUGCCUUGGCUAGAAUCUUCUCGUAGAAAUUAGUGUUGUUUUUUUCGUCAUUUACAUUUCAAGAAUAUGCUAAAAUAAAAAGUUCAUGAAAAUGUUUGUUGGAACCAUUAUUUAUAAUUGUCAUAAUACUAUAGGGCUAGGAUGUAGUGAUUUAUUUGAGGUUAUUUCAAAAAAAUUAUUUUCUAAUGUCUAAUUCUCGCUCAUUCUCUUUUACAUUUAAGAGAUGAGGGAAGUGGUGAUGAUAAGAGUGAUCCUUACAUUUAAGAGAUGAGGGAAGUGGUGAUGAUAAGAGUGAUCAUGAUGAGGAUGUGGAUGAUGAGAGUGCUUAUGGUGAAAGCCUUGACGAGGGUGUUCAUGAUGAGGAUGAGUAUUGGGAGUACUUACCAUGAGAGUGUUGAUGAUGAGGGUGAGGGUGAGCGUGAGGAUGAGUAUUGGGAGUACUUACCAUGAGAGUGCUGAUGAUGAGGGCGAGGGUGAGGGUGAGGGUGAGCAUAAUGAUGACAGUACUUGCAAGUUGCAAUAAGAGUGAUGAGGAUGAGGAUGGGAGUACUUAUCGUGAGAGUGUUCAUGAUGAGGGUGAGGGCGAUGAUGAUGAUGAGAGUACUUGCAAGGUGAGCGAUGAGGAUGAUGAUGGGAGUACGUACCGUGAAACACCGUUGAUGACGAAGGUUUUCACGAUGAUGGCGAGGAGGAUAAUGACGUACUUACUCUGCUUUGCCAACGGACAUGCGUGUUGACGAUGAGUACUUAAUUAACACUUUGAAAACGAAAGGGCCAAAUUUCAUUCAAUAAAAACAAACAACUAAUAAAAAACUCUAUUCAAUCCCUACUUCCUGUUUCAACAAUUUUUGUAAAACUGGGUGACUCACCAGGAAAAUUGACAUUUUUUUGUAAGUUUUACCGGAGUUGUGUUGUUCGGUUUUUUAGCUUGGAUGUGGCCAUGGACUUGGAUUGGCCCAUGGACUUAGGUGGACUUCACAUCACCAAUUUAUAAAUUGGCAGUUUGGAUCCCAGUUUCAUUGGGUGAGUACUGUAUGCACGUUUCAGCUCCAUCACACUUGGUUUUAAACUGAGAAGUUUUCCCUCACUGUACCAUAUUCCUGGUCCACCUAAAAUACACCGUCCUCCCAAUAGGAAUUCUGAUUUCUAUUCUUUCUGUCCGUUCAAAGUCUUGAUAUUUCCCACAUCUUUACAAUUUAUCCAACAAUCGAACUAUUAACUAUUUAACUGAAACCUUAAACCAAAAUUCUAUGAUGCCGGCCUGGCAUCAAUAACAAACACCAAAAUAAGCUAAAAUGUGACAAGAAGGUAGAAAUGGGAGGGGGAAGGUUGGCUUCCACCCGCCGGAAUAAAGAAGAAUGGGAGGGGGAAGUUCACAGCUUUCCCCAGAUCAAAGGUUGGGCGAAAAAUAGUCCGUCUUUCUUUAAUUCAAAUCAAAGCUGCUUUUCUCAUCGUAACAAAAACCUUAAAUAGAAGCAAAACUAUCCUAUUUGAUAACUACUAAAAAUUUAAAAUAAGACUCCUACAUACUAAAACUCCUAAUAAAAUAAAAUUUUAUUUGAUAACUACUAAAAUUAAAAUAAAACUCCUAAAUCACUAAAACUCCUAAUUAAAUAAAAUUCUACAUAACUUUAAUGAAACAACUAAUAUAAAAUUAAACCAAUUACAGAUUAAUAAAUAAAUAAUCAAUUUAAAAUUUUUUUUUUUUAUCACGCAUCAUUCUCCUCCACUGAAAAACUCGACCUCGAGUUGGUCAGAUACUGAAUUCCUUCCACACCAAACGAUUAAUACUCUUGAAAUAGGUGGACGCAACUUUCUUUGGUUCGGAAAUUUAAAAACUCUUUAAAACCCAAACCCAACUAAUAUCAAUUUUCAAAUGCAAAGGCAAAACGUAAAGAAAGUUAUCAACACCAAUCAAUCGAUUCUUUCUACUUUCGGUACACUUUCAAAUUGUGAAGGGGAUCUUUUUUUCCUUGCAGACCAUUUUUAACUUUUCAAAUUCUUUCCAAGCAACUCUUCGUCUCCAAAGACCUAUUGAAAAAAAUAGCAGCCUUUUAAAAUGCAAUAUAAGAAGAAAUAUGCUUUUGAGACAGACGCCAUGAGUCUGGAUAAUAAUGCAGCUUUGGUUUCUUUUUUAAACUGUUGCUCUUCAUUUUAUUUCUCGCAACUAAUUUGAAAAAUUCUCAUUUUUCUCAGAACUUUCAAUAAUCUAGUUCUUGCUCUUUUUGCAUUGCCUCUAAUUUUUCUGCUGCGCCACAUCGAAACUAAUCUAUCUCUUGGAUAUGAAUAGGGAAUGUAUUUAUUACUUGCAAGACGUCUAUCAUCUCAAGUCCAAUCAGUGUGGUUUUCGUUGUUGAGCGGUCCUCAUGCUUUGCCAAAAGAACUUGGCUCGGCUUAUUAAUUUCAAUUUAGUCAAAUCGACGUUUUGCUAUCAUCAGACAACUUUGUUGCGCCAUGCAAAGAAAUCGAUUCAUCUCAUGAACCCAAUCGUAACGCUUUCGGAUCAGGCACCAUCAAGUAGUGAAGCCUCAUCCAUUAUAUUGUAUUUAGAAUUGUCUAAUUUUUUUCAGCUAAGCUGUAAUUUGUUUGAAAAAAAUAACAGAUUGGUGAAUUUUGGGGAAAUGGGGUGUGAUCGAUUCGGCGUCUGAUACCAAAUUUGACGCCGGACCGGCAAUCAGAUAAACAAAAAUAGAUAAUCGUACCAGAAUGCGUAGUGGUCGGGUGAAGUUUCUGGCUUGCCGCCAGAACAUCAAAGAAGAAGGGGAAGGGUAGAAGUUUGCUUCCGCAGAUUCACAGGUUGAAAAAAAAAAAAAUCAUCGUUUUCUCUUAUUUCAUAUCUAUCUGUUUCGAUCGUAACAAAACAAACACCUUACUACGGAAAUUAAACUAAUCCUAUUUGAUAGCUACUAAAAUUUUAAAUAAGACCUCCUAACAUACUUAAACUCCUAAUUAAUAAAAUUCUAUAUUUCCUGGUACUUUUUAAAAUUUAAAAUAAGACCUGCUAAGCUACCGAAAACUUGGCCAAUAAUAAAAUUCUAUAUGCCUAAAUGAACAACAACUAAUAAAAAAUUUAAAAAAUACAAUCUUUCUAAAUAAAAUAAAUACACUUCUUAUACCCGCAUCAUCUAUGAACAUAAAAAAAAAUGGUUCUUCUUUUCUUUCCUAUGUUACAAAAAGAAUUCUUUAUAUUUAAAUUUAUACUUCUCCUUGUGUCCAAGCAUUGGCUAGCCUCCUAAAGUUUUCUGUAAAUUUAAAUAAUGGAGAUUACCACAAUAAUAGAAUUUGUAAGCAAUGAAGCUAAAACUUAUACAUUUGCUACCUUGGGCUUUGUCACUUCAAUUCUUUUUCUUUUCCUCACUUCGGUUAUAUGGUGAGCCUCCUUUUUUACUGGACAACUCAAGAGUCAACCAUGUUUUGUUGCACUCUUUUAGAACUAUAACUCCUUCUUCUAGGUGAAGUGAGGUUCUCUUAGGACGUACUGAAAAACCCUUAUUGCUUCCCGAAGUAACUCUAGGGUUGUUGAACUCUUUAUUUUUGUUUGUGUACGGAUUUGAUAGCCAUCACCCCGUUAUCAGUACCCCUUUCUUUUGCAAUCUUUUGCAAUCACCUCACACCUCAUCACCAAGGCAAUCGCAAUGUUAUCAUAGCGACAUGCUCAAUUGUAAACGAGGGCGUCCUCAUAGUUGUUCCGAGUAAUUAGAUAGUUAUGAACCGUGUACCUAAAAACAUCGAAAAGCCACCUACAAUCAAAUAUGUCCUCCAUAAAGUCUAGAAUUUGAUCUCCUAGACAAUUCUAUUUAUACUUCCAGCUUGUACGCAAUUUCAACUGUGUUGGUUUUCAGCUCUCUCUCUAAAUAAAGGAUACCUUCCUUGGCAGCUCACAUUAAAAUCCAUUCUUACCAAGUAACAACUUAUCAUUAAUCUCACCAUACAUUCUCCCUCCAGCAAUUUGCAAACAACAAAGGAAAGAGUUUGGUUUUUAUUAGCAAAAAGAGGUAGAAUAAAAAAUAAUAAGGACACGUAACGUUUUUGAUUUGUUGGGUGGCGGAAAAACUUUUUUGCCUUUUCGGAUUAUUCAUGGGUUCAAACGUCUCCGUAACUUUGGUGCAGGGGUGUAAUAACCUUUUAAUUCAUCUAACUUUCCAUUCUAGGACAAAAAACAAAUAAACACAGAAGCCAAAUAUUCCCUUACACCACACUAACGAAACUCCCCUUCUUCUCAACACACCGCAUGAUGCACAAAGGAGCCACCUCCUAGAAUUUUGUAUUAUCGAGUCUCGAACACCUCUUUGCCAACAACCAAAGGUCUAAAGCUCGAAUAAACUAAAUAUAUAAAAAAAGUACAUUUUAAAUAGUUGUCCCGUAAUUUCUAGGUAAUAGUUCACUUUGGUCCCUGACAACCUUAACCGUUUCUUCUGAUCAUGUUUCCUCAAUGUGAUCCCGCCAUCCUAUUUUCAUUAAAAAAACACCAAAAUUUGCAUUUUUUUUGUCUUUUUGUCAUUUUCAGUUCAGUCAAUAUUUUUAAAUGAAAUUGGAUGACGAGAGACCAAAACAAAAUUGAUUGGACACUAUUAGGGUUU